AGAGUUUGAUCCUGGCUCAUAUUGAACGCUGGCGGCAGGCCUAACACAUGCAAGUCGAGCGGAUGAUGGGAGCUUGCUCCCGGAUUCAGCGGCGGACGGGUGAGUAAUGCCUAGGAAUCUGCCUGGUAGUGGGGGACAACGUUUCGAAAGGAACGCUAAUACCGCAUACGUCCUACGGGAGAAAGCAGGGGACCUUCGGGCCUUGCGCUAUCAGAUGAGCCUAGGUCGGAUUAGCUAGUUGGUGGGGUAAAGGCCUACCAAGGCGACGAUCCGUAACUGGUCUGAGAGGAUGAUCAGUCACACUGGAACUGAGACACGGUCCAGACUCCUACGGGAGGCAGCAGUGGGGAAUAUUGGACAAUGGGCGAAAGCCUGAUCCAGCCAUGCCGCGUGUGUGAAGAAGGUCUUCGGAUUGUAAAGCACUUUAAGUUGGGAGGAAGGGCAGUAAGUUAAUACCUUGCUGUNUUGACGUUACCAACAGAAUAAGCACCGGCUAACUUCGUGCCAGCAGCCGCGGUAAUA
rnacentral:rRNA from 1 species